GCUUGGAUAGCUCAGCUGGUAGAGCAUCGCCCUGAAGAGGCGGGGGUCCCCGGUUCGAUCCCGGGUCCAAGCA
rnacentral:tRNA from 1 species